GCUGGGCACGGUGGCGCGUGCCUGUAAUCCCAGCUACUCAGGAGGCUGAGGCAGGAGAAUUGCCUGAACCCAGGAGGCGGAGGUUGCAGUGAGCCGAGAUUGCGCCAUUGCACUCCCGCCUGGGUAACAAGAGCGAAACUCCGUCUCAA
ensembl:misc_RNA Metazoa_SRP Metazoan signal recognition particle RNA